GAUGAACGCUGGCGGCGUGCUUAACACAUGCAAGUCGAACGAGAAUCAACGGAUUGAGGAUUCGUCCAAAUGAAGUUGAGGAAAGUGGCGGACGGGUGAGUAACGCGUGAGGAACCUGCCUCGGAGUGGGGAAUAACAGUUGGAAACAGCUGCUAAUACCGCAUAAUGCAACGGAAUCGAGCAGAGGGAAAAGGAGUGAUCCGCUUUGAGAUGGCCUCGCGUCCGAUUAGCUGGUUGGUGAGGUAACGGCCCACCAAGGCGACGAUCGGUAGCCGGACUGAGAGGUUGAACGGCCACAUUGGGACUGAGACACGGCCCAG
rnacentral:rRNA from 1 species